rnacentral:rRNA from 1 species
AGAGACUGCAAGCGUUAUUCGGAUUCACUGGGCGUAAAGGGUGCGCAGGCGGUCGGGUGUGUCAGAUGUGAAAUCCCGAGGCUCAACCUCGGAACUGCGUCUGAAACUACUCGACUAGAGUACUGGAGAGGGUAACGGAAUUCACGGUGUAGCAGUGAAAUGCGUAGAUAUCGUGAGGAACACCAGAGGCGAAGGCGGUUACCUGGACAGUUACUGACGCUCAGGCACGAAAGCAUGGGGAGCAAAAGGGAUUAGAUACCCCUGUAGUCCAUGCCCUAAACGGUGCACACUAGGUCUUGGCGGAUUCGACCCCACCAGGGCCCAAGCUAACGCGUUAAGUGUGCCGCCUGAGGACUACGGUCGCAAGACUAAA